UUUCACGGGCGCGCGGCAAGUUCGCGCUGGACGGCUUCGAAUCGUCCGACGCCGCCGUGCGUUCGGUGCGCGACGA
rnacentral:tRNA from 1 species